rnacentral:rRNA from 1 species
UUGAACACGUCGGCGGCGUGCCUAACACAUGCAAGUCGCACGAGAAAGGGGACUUCGGUUCCUGAGUAAAGUGGCGCACGGGUGAGUAACACGUGAAUGAUCUACCUCCGAGUGGGGAAUAACUUCGGGAAACCGGAGCUAAUACCGCAUAACACUUACGAGUCAAAGCAGCAAUGCGCUUGGAGAGGAGUUCGCGGCAGAUUAGUUAGUUGGCGGGGUAAUGGCCCACCAAGACGAUGAUCUGUAUCCGGCCUGAGAGGGCGCACGGACACACUGGAACUGAAACACGGUCCAGACUCC